UGGGCUGUGAGGAAGCCUAACGGUCAUCUGUGCGCGCGGCUGCGGCUCGCCUGCCGGUCAGCGCUCCUCACAACGGGGCUGUGGGAAAAAGUAGAAUUAAAGGUGUUUUUCUCUCUCAAAUGUUUGUGAGUGAUCCUCGUCCCAGGAGUUGAGCUUUCCUUGUGACAAACACGAGCCAGUGCAGCCAAGAGGCAGUUCUCUGAGGCGAUGCAGCAGUCUCAGACGUGCAUGUUUGCCCCCUUUGCUUCUUUUUGGUCACAAGAACACUACUUCAAGAAACCGUUUUUGAUCCUAAACUAUCACGUCGAGCUAGGACUGCAGGACACAGCCAGACACCGUGAAACAGGACCGCACUCCAGCCCUGCAAAGACAACGUGGCCCGGGGUUAGGCACCCAGCAGGAGGAUCCAGCUUGACAUUUGAAAGGACUGAAGAUUAAAAGAAAAAAUACCUUUGUGUAAAUCAUCUUGAAUGCAUGGAUAAUUCCCAUGUACUUGUGUUCCCCUUUUACUUGGAAUGCCAGACGAACUCUAACCAUAUCAAGAGGGAUUAUUUUGAAAAUCAGAAUUUCCUUUUGUGGCAGUGAAUGUAAUAGCAUACACAGAUUAUUUUGUUGAAAAAAAUACUUGAAAACCCACUUAUCAAACAGGAACCUCAGCAACACACAAAGGAUUUAUAUCUCUACUUGGUGUUCACUGAAGCUGCACACUUAUGCCAUGAUUCUUCCGCAGUAUCUUAAACGUAACUGUUUCGCAUAAGCAGUCUUCUUCAUAGCUCACAAACAUAUGGCUAGCCAAGUGCAUCAGCCUCUACUGGAUUCCAACCACAAAAUCUAAUCCUACAUUACCUAGUAAAUAAACAGAGCACCAUUAACAUGUUUAAUUUCCAAAAGCUUGUGUCAAAAUUCAAAUAUGUGAUUAUUGGAUGUAUUUACCUACUGCACCUGAAAAUACAGUAUUUUAAGUCAAUUCAGGAGCCUAGUCAUGAAGAGUACUGAACUGCAUUGCAUUGCUGUAUUUUUAUAGUUCACAUUACACUACCUGUUUUAAAACUUUAACUAAAACAGCUAUUUCUAGCCUUAACAAGAUGUUUAAAAAAAAAUAAUCAAAUCUCAGGAGUCAACUUAUCAUUUCCUAAGCAGACCUCCACUACAAAGAAUAACUCUAACAGUUAGCUGAACAUCAAGUCCUUCCUACCACUAGUCUUUGAGUUAAGCCACUCAGUUACUAACAAAUUACAUGAAGGGAAUGGUUAAAACAAAAGAUUAAAAACAGAUUAUUUUCUGGUGUUAUAACACUGGCACUGAUAAAAUAACUGAGAAAAAGAGAGAAAGAAAGCAAAAGCGUUUGUGAUUCACAUUCUGCUUUCUAGCAGCUGCUCUUCUGUAUCUAAAGAACACCCUUAAAAGUGAUCCUACAGAAGAUGAACACCUUUUGAGCACUGGGAGGAAAUUGCACUUCCUCUCAAGUUUUAAUAGUCUGUUAAUCAUAUAUUUUUGUAUGUGCACAAUUUCCCCCCUCUUGCAUAAAGUCAAGAGAAAGCCACAACAGGAAAGAGAAAAUUGAAACAAAGAUUUAAAAAAACAACAGCUGUUUCAGCAAAGAGUGCUAACUUUCAUAUCUGGAGAGAGAACAAUCAGUUGUUGAAUCGUGGUAGGAGGAUCUGACAUAACACAUCAACAUCAGAUGGGGGUUAGGAAAAAAAAAAAAAAAGAACACCUUGAGGAAGCUAUUGAAAAAGCCAACACCGGUCAACCAUCAACUGAGUUUGUGUCUUUCUGGAGUAUCCUACCAGUAACAUUUAUUCUAGAAGACAAAAAACAUCUUUUUAGAUAUUUUGGACCGUUCCUCUGAACAAAAAAAGCAGGCAACUGCAGCUGAUGUUUGAUGCAGUCUCACCCACAGGAUUCAAAAGCUGGAAGCUGCAUAACACCAGAGCAAUCUUAGGACUGUUUCCACUGACCUACGUUAUUAAAUUCACUCCCUGCAGCCUUUUCCCAAGGAAUUUUCCAAGGUGUCCAGAAAUACUAUAAAAUUGACAAUUCAAGCAAUUCAAUAAAAGGGUGGAAAAAAAGAAGAGAGAAAAGGCUCUUACAGAGCUUAGAGUUCACAGGAAAGUUAUCCUGUGAACACAACACAAACUUAUCCCCCUUCUUUUUCCCAGUCAUGCACUGAUAAGCAUCCAAGAAUAUUCUCUGUACAAAGACAAGCAAACAGACCAAGAGUUUAGUAGAAGUACUAAUAGUCAACACUGAGUCCAAAAACAGCACAAGUGAAGAAGAAAAAAAUCAGACAGGACUGAAAGAAGUCAUAUCCAGUAAGCAGGACCUUUAAAUAGGACUCAUUUUUUCACUUUAUGUUAAAAUUGUGUAGCGAUGGAUUCUGGAGAGGAAAAGAAAAAAAUUAAAAAAAAGGACUUCUAACCUUCUCAGUUUGAAAAAGCUACAAAAUAUGCGUUCCUGAAGCAACUCAAAGUGGCAUGUUACUGUUUACUGUUCAUAAGAGCUAAAUGUACAUGUGGGAAGGAUCCAGACUUCCUCUGAGGCCCAGGAGAGACAUUGUCUCUCUGUGAGGAACAGUUGUCAGGUUUGGAGAAGUUUACAAAAACAGUAAUCUCAUCUCUAGUCCCUAAAAACUAUGACUUAGCAGAAGACAGACCAGAACACCUUAAGGCUGAUUCCCUCUCCCAAGGAAACAAUGUUUUUCAACUAAUUUAAGUCUAUCUAGAAAUCUCUCCCAUGGUUUGUUUAACAGGACAGAAUUGGAAGUCUCUGCCCAGUUCAGAGACGUACAGCAAAUCCCAUCUUAUCUUAUCUGAAGAUAUCUUAUCUGAAAUCUUAUCUGAAAUAAUCAUAAUAGGACAAAUACCAUUCCUCCUCCUGUGAGGUACCACUUCAAAUACAGCAACUUUUUCAUUGCAAAUGUUGACUCAGAAGUACCUACCCCACUGAAAUCAAGAAAUUGUCAGGGAGAGAACAUUGUACUUAACCACUUCUUCAAGCACCUCUGACCACUCUUGGGGACAAGAUACUGGGUUACACAAACUUUUACUGAGGCUUGGCAUAAAUGAAGCACAACAGGUAUUAGACUGUCCAUGUUUUGGAAGUUGACAAUGAGAUUAGCUGUAUAGGCAAAUAGCUGCCUCACAAUUUCCCUACUAUUCCUCCAUUUUCUUUCUUUGAAAUAAAAAAAAUAAAAUACCCAGGGCGAGGAAAUAACAAGUGAAACACAUUUACAAAGAUCAGAUACUGCAAAUAUAUUUGAUGCACAUGUUUUUCUGAAUUCUACAUCAUGUUCUACAUAGACCAAAUUAGCACUACCAAGUUAUUCUGAGGUACACAGGUUCAAAAACUACAAACAAAAGUCACAGCCUUCAACUGCAGGAGAGAUAUUCCUCCACAAGUAUAAAGGAGACUAAUUUAUCACGGAAGCAUGUUCCAUUAAAAACAAAGCUUCACAAACUAUAUGAAGACAGAAAAAGCUGAUGACAAAGAACACGCAUCAGACAGGUCAAAGAACUGCAUGAUUUACAAGUGCAGGUAUGUCUAGACACUUAAUACCUAAUUGUAUUUCUUGCUAACUCGUACCUGAAAAAAUAGACCCAGA
rnacentral:lncRNA from 1 species